ACUGGCUCUGGGGGAAGUAAUGGCCAUGUAUUGAGAAUACUCAGGCGGCAUAUGGAGAGGCCCCCGUGGGCAGAAACUGAAGCUUCCUGCCAACAGCCAGCAUCAUGUUGCCGGUCAUGUGAGUGACCCACUUGGGAGGCACAUCCUCCAGCCUAGCCUUCAGAUGAGACCACAGCCCCAGCCAGUUGAAACCACAACCUCACAGGAGACUCUGAGCCAGAACCACCCAACUGAGCUGCUCCCAGAUGACUGACCCACAAAAACUGUGAGCCUUCGGACUCAUUCUUCUGCUGAGACCAGCCAGAAAGCCUGAAACCUAAGCGAGAAAUGGAGAAACCAAGGCUCACAAAAGAACAAAAAAAGAAUUGUCCAAGGUCACCCAGGCGUCUGGACUCCCAUAUGUUGAGUUGAGCUCCUACUAUUUACAGGGCAGCUGCAGCCCGUGAAUUCUUCAGUACAUGAGUUAUUGUAUUACAGAAGAAUGAACUGAAGCAGAGAAAGAUUAGAUCAACUUUUUGGUUCGGAAGUGGCAAAACCGGGACCCAAACUCAGAUCUACCUAAUUGGAGAAGCCCAGCGAUACUGGAAACAACAAGUCGUAACAACCACGAUGGCGGAGGUGUCGCGAGAUUAAUCGAUGCAAAAGUCUCUGUGACACCAGCAGGGUUGCAAGCCAAGAUCUGUGAUUUCUACUGGUGCCGAGGUUGUGGGGGAUGGUCCAUCCUGCCCCGUGUCUGUUGUCUGUAUUCAUAAUGGAAUGAAAUGCUACAUUUCAGCUCGAGUGGAGGACGCUGCUGGCCUGGUGGGCUGGCCUUUCAGACAGGACUUUAGACUUUGAAGAAGGAGAUCAUUUUCAGAUUCCUGAGUCAUCUCUCCUUGGGCCCAUCCUCGGCUUGACUUCCUCGCAGGGGCCUUUGAUGAACAGAUGAAAUAAUGGAUAUGCUUUGAAAAAGAUAAAACGCUGAACAAAAAGUUGUGCUGGCCACAGCAAUGGGUGUGAUGGAUUGUCCAAACCUUGAACUUCCUUCCUGCCUAAGGGCAAAGACUGCUCUCAACCUCCGCAUCUCUGGGACAGUCAGCCGGGUGACCCUGCCUGCCCCCCGCCCCCAUUGGAGUGUGUUACAUCCAUCAACCUGUAGAACCAUCAAAAAACUAUGCUGCUUUGGUCGGGGUUUGAAUGUGCCCAUUUUACAGAUGAGGAGAUUGAGGCAGAGAGAAAUUCAAGAACAUGCCCAAUAUCAUACAGCUAUUUGGUACUGACCCGGGCUUUGGACCCAAGCUUACUCAUUCCAAACCCUGACCAAACACCAGGGAUUUAGUUAAGAUGUCUUCCGCUCGAAUAAAAUAUAGCACAACAAUAGGAACAAGAAACAUGUGAUCUUGCAAAAAUGUCCAUGUCAGCUCCUCCAAACCUGUAGAAAAGAUAACUUUCCCUCCUCACUGCAGCUGGGGCUCUUGGCAUGAGUUGCAUCAAGUGGACGUCCCACUGCGGGGAUUUGAGAGAUUGUAGGAUUGCACACUUGGAAAGAACCCUAAUGACUAUUUAGGGCCAGCAUCCCCCUCCACUAUAGUGCUGCCAAGAGGCUGUCCAGCCAAUGCUUGCACACUCACAGAGAUCCUGCAAAGUGGCCUAGGCUAUUCCCAAACAGCUCAUGGUUACCUAGUACUCUUUCGGACAAAUUGACACAAUCUCUUAGAAUAGAAACUGUGCUCUUCCUACUACCCAGGGUUGCAUGAAAAAGUACAGGACCAUUCAUAGCUCCACCAUCAUAGCAAAAAAUUUGAACCAACCUAUUUGCCUGCAAAAGGGGAGUGAAUGUGUAAGUUGUAAUACAGCUGGAGGGGUUAGGGGCACUGAUCCCCGGCAAAGUUGAAAAUCUGCAUAUAACUUUUGACUCCCCGAAACCUUAACUACUAAUAGCCUAUUGUUGACUGGAAGCCUUACUGAUUACAUAAAGAGGUGAUUAAUA